rnacentral:rRNA from 1 species
UACGGCCGCAAGGUUAAAACUCAAAUGAAUUGACGGGGGCCCGCACAAGCGGUGGAGCAUGUGGUUUAAUUCGAUGCAACGCGAAGAACCUUACCUACUCUUGACAUCCAGAGAACUUAGCAGAGAUGCUUUGGUGCCUUCGGGAACUCUGAGACAGGUGCUGCAUGGCUGUCGUCAGCUCGUGUUGUGAAAUGUUGGGUUAAGUCCCGCAACGAGCGCAACCCUUAUCCUUUGUUGCCAGCGGUUAGGCCGGGAACUCAAAGGAGACUGCCAGUGAUAAACUGGAGGAAGGUGGGGAUGACGUCAAGUCAUCAUGGCCCUUACGAGUAGGGCUACACACGUGCUACAAUGGCGCAUACAAAGAGAAGCGACCUCGCGAGAGCAAGCGGACCUCAUAAAGUGCGUCGUAGUCCGGAUUGGAGUCUGCAACUCGACUCCAUGAAGUCGGAAUCGCUAGUAAUCGUGGAUCAGAAUGCCACGGUGAAUACGUUCCCGGGCCUUGUACACACCGCCCGUCACACCAUGGGAGUGGGUUGCAAAAGAAGUAGGUAGCUUAACCUUCGGGAGGGCGCUUACCACUUUGUGAUUCAUGACUGGGG